rnacentral:lncRNA from 1 species
GGCAACCCACUCGGGUUUUCCUCCACUCUGUGGAAGUUUUGUUCUUUCGCUCUUUGCAAUAAAUCUUGCUGCUGCUGCUCACUCUUUGGGUCCACAGUGCCUUUAUGAGCUGUAACACUCACUGCGAAGGUCCGCAGCUUCACUCCUGAGCCAGCCAGACCACGAGCCCCACCAGAAGGAAGAAACUCCGAGCACAUCCGAACAUCAGAAGCUAGUAGACCUUGAGAACCUGCACCUAGAAGAGGAAUGGAUAUCACCUGAACGUACCUGAAGAACAGCCCACAACGUGAUAUUCAGUUGUCUCCUGCUGGGAAGGGCGUGAAUGUAUUUGUGAUUAAAUGAGGGAGAGGUGGAUUACAUUAAAUGGGGAGACCUUCAGAAUUAGCAAUUUCUGCU